GACGAACGCUGGCGGCGUGCUUAACACAUGCAAGUCGAACGGAAAGGCCCUGCUUUUGUGGGGUGCUCGAGUGGCGAACGGGUGAGUAACACGUGAGUAACCUGCCCUUGACUUUGGGAUAACUUCAGGAAACUGGGGCUAAUACCGGAUAGGAGCUCCUGCUGCUUGGUGGGGGUUGGAAAGUUUCGGCGGUUGGGGAUGGACUCGCGGCUUAUCAGCUUGUUGGUGGGGUAGUGGCUUACCAAGGCUUUGACGGGUAGCCGGCCUGAGAGGGUGACCGGCCACAUUGGGACUGGGAUACGGCCCAGACUCCUACGGGAGGCAGCAGUGGGGAAUAUUGCACAAUGGGCGGAAGCCUGAUGCAGCAACGCCGCGUGCGGGAUGACGGCCUUCGGGUUGUAAACCGCUUUCGCCUGUGACGAAGCGUGAGUGACGGUAAUGGGUAAAGAAGCACCGGCUAACUACGUG
rnacentral:rRNA from 1 species